GUCUCAGUGUGGAAAGAGUUUUGGAAAAGAACUUUUAUCGCCCGGCCCGCAUGGCACCAUGGGAAAGGUAGUUCGGCGAAACCCAGCGGCUGGACUACAACUCCCAGGAUGCCCCUGAAGGAGCGAGCGAGGUGGCUGCGGUGGCCUCCUCGGCCUCUAAGGUGGUUAGUGGGGUGGUGCAUUUUGUGGGGAUUCGGUUAUUUAAACACAUCCGGUAAAGAGACUGCCAGGGACUAGGAAACUGCUGCAUGUUCCACCCUUUUGAGGCCAUCUUAUUUGCGGCUUGACCUCCCUGUACAAGGGAUUCUGGGGGUUGUUGUUUCCAAAAGGAUCGAGGCUGACACCUGAAGGACGCGCGUUAACCUCUUAGCCCCUAGCCUGUCCUGCGGAGCUUACCGACGUCACCUGGGCAGAAAGUGGAAGACAGGGGGUGAUCGGGAGAAUUUCACUGGCAGUUGGUACAAGGCCACACCCGAACGCCAACCCGAAGUGAAAUCUGUGCCCUUCUGCCCGCAACCUCAAAAGCUGUUUUUGCUCCAGUUGUUAUUGAGAACUGCUCAGCGGUCAGCUCUGAGCUAGGCGCUGUGAGAAAGCGUAACAAGACAAGUGUUUCGUCUGAGAAUUUACAGGCGAGACUCAAACCGAGAAACUUAAGGGGUGUGUGCAGGGCAGAUUCUAGGGUACCAGCAGAUCCAAAUCGUUGGCUCUGAUCCCAAACUUCGGGGCUGGGCUGCAGACAGUGACGCUAAAUUCUUCCACCUUUGCUGAUGCUAUGGGUGGGCCUGACCUUGACAGAAUCUUCCCUCACACAAGAACCCAAGGCUGAUCUUCUGUUAUUUCUUUUUCACUUCAAGAUUUCCUCCUUGAUGCUUAAUAUACAGAUAUCGCCUGAGUGCCCAAGUCCACUAGGUGGACAACGUGAUUUUCAUCUGCCAAAUUUAGAAGAUUUGGAAGGCCGGGCAAGAACAUUUCUUCUCCACAUGGAAUGAGUAAGGUGACAAGUAAGGUGACGAGGAAUAGAAAAAUAGAAUGAACCUUAGAAAGGGAAGACGGAAGCCCAAGAUGGAGUCAUAGAAUGUGAAGAAGUCCAGAGCUGUUCCAAAAGCAUAAUGCACAUGCAGAAAAGUGCACAGCUCAAUGAAUUUGCAUCAAAAUGAACACACCCGUGUAAUCAGCUCCCAGAUCAAGUAACUGACUACCAGAACCCUAGAAGGCCUUCUAGUUACU